rnacentral:rRNA from 1 species
CUACGGGGGGCAGCAGUGGGGAAUAUUGCACAAUGGAGGAAACUCUGAUGCAGCAACGCCGCGUGGAGGAUGACACUUUUCGGAGCGUAAACUCCUUUUAUAUAAGAAGAAGAUGACGGUACUAUAUGAAUAAGCGCCGGCUAACUCCGUGCCAGCAGCCGCGGUAAUACGGAGGGCGCAAGCGUUACUCGGAAUCACUGGGCGUAAAGAGCGUGUAGGCGGAUUAAAAAGUCAGAAGUGAAAUCCUAUAGCUUAACUAUAGAACUGCUUCUGAAACUCUUAAUCUAGAAUAUGGGAGAGGUAGAUGGAAUUUCUGGUGUAGGGGGUAAAAUCCGUAGAGAUCAGAAGGAAUACCGAUUGCGAAGGCGAUCUACUAGAACAUUAUUGACGCUGAGACGCGAAAGCGUGGGGAGCAAACAGGAUUAGAUACCCUAGUAGUC